rnacentral:rRNA from 1 species
UCGAGAAUAAUUCACAAUGGGGGCAACCCUGAUGGUGCAACGCCGCGUGGAGGAUGACGGUCUUCGGAUUGUAAACUCCUGUCAUCCGGGAGUAAGACCUGGCAGUUAAUAGCUGACAGGGUUGAUAGUACCGGAAGAGGAAGGGACGGCUAACUUCGUGCCAGCAGCCGCGGUAAUACGAAGGUCCCGAGCGUUGUUCGGAAUCACUGGGCGUAAAGGGAGCGUAGGCGGCGCGGUAAGUCAGAUGUGAAAUCCCGGGGCUCAACCCCGGAACUGCAUCCGAUACUGCCGUGCUAGAGGAUUGGAGAGGUAGCUGGAAUUCUUGGUGUAGCAGUGAAAUGCGUGGAUAUCAAGAGGAACACUCGUGGCGAAAGCGAGCUACUGGACAACUCCUGACGCUGAGGCUCGAAGGCCAGGGUAGCGAAAGGGAUUAGAUACCCCCGUAGUCC